rnacentral:misc_RNA from 1 species
CUCCCUCCAUCCCUCUUCCAUCCGCCGUAGAGCGCUGUGUGCGUGUGUGAUGGGGUGGUGAUGGUGGUAAGCGGGCACGUGCGCCAUCCACACACACACACACACACACACACACGAUGGCGUGCUUGCCUGUGCGAACGUGAAUAUGGGGAGGCUCGUCGCAAGUGCGCGAUAAUAGCGUACGCUGCAGUCAACCACAGCAGAGGUAAUACGCCGCAGCCCAUGCUUCCUCCUCUCAUUGCCCAUGAGAUCACCGCUCGCGCAACCGCUUCGACAGGAGAGGGUGGGGGAGGGUAGGGCGGCGCGUGUGUGUGCGUGAUCGAACACCCCUUUCUUUCCUUCUCUCUUUCUUCGUUGGCCGCCUUUAGCUUCCGAGGUGGGGCAUCAGUCAAACAAGAAUGGCUGCUUCUGUGGGUGCAAAGAGCGGCGAGAUGAGAGAAGUAGGGGUGCGAGGGACGUAGAGGACGUGCUCCGCCGCCGUGUUGUAGCUCUUACUCGUUGAGUGCAAAGGGAGCACGAGCAAGCUGAGGCGCUUCGGCGGUGUGAGACUGCGAUCUGGGUGCAGAGCAAUUCGCUACGAUGGGCCGAGCAUGUUUCUGCUCCCCCGUCUUCCCUAGUCGUCCGUGACGAGGAGGGGCGGAUACGCAUCUCGCAGUGCGUGGCAUCACAGGGUCCAAGUGCCCCCACACUCUGCGUCGGGGGAGGCCAGGUAGCUCCCCCUCCCCCGUCACCCCUCCCUCCAUCCCUGCCCAUGCCGAACCACUUCUGGUGGUGGCAGGGCCAGGUCGCUACGACGUUGGGGUGGGGGAGACAGAGCGAUGCACCGCCACUGAUGUCGGCGGUGAGGCCGUGGAUGGCACCGCGUUGGAGCCACCUGCGAAGCGAAUGGCGUGCGUGUGGUGUCUGGGUGAGAGGCCGUGCUCUCAGAUGGCUGGGCCGGCGCAUGGCUGCAGCGCGUGCGUCUACGGCUGCUCGGCACCGUGCGAUGGGUGCCGGUGGGGCACGUCUGCAGGGGGUAGAGCGCCGUUUGGGCUCAUGCUGUAUGACAGAGAGCGGCUACGUGGAAGAGAAUCUUCGAUACUCUUCCGCUGUAGUGCCACGACCACCAUCACGGCACGUACGACUGCUCUCUAUCUUUCGCUGUGCGUCGUAGACAAGAAUAGGCAGGAAUGGGAGUAGAGCGGGAAGGCCACACUGCAGGGGCUCGGUGAAUGAUGGACUGACCUGUGGAAUCUACUGCGUUCUUUCUGAGCGUUGCGGCGAUGUGAGCUUCAUUGAGUUGCAAUCUUCAACGAAAUCUAUGUCUGACGUCCCAGGGCGCCUUGUGCAGCGGUUGGCUCGGUGGCUGGCCUUGUCUCUCUCUCUCUGUGCUUGUGUUUGUCUGCGCCGUGCAUGCGUGUGCGCCUGUCCAACUCCCGUCUUUUCACGCUGCAGGCUGUGGGAGGCGGUGGUGCGGUCGGCAGGCCAGCAUGAAGAAGCGCAUGCGAGCGAGUGACCGGAGUCACCCGUAGCGAAGCAGCUCGUGUUACCGCUCGAAUGGAUGCGCUGUGCAUCUGCUCCCGUAUUCGAGGUCUUGUGUGUCAAAGGGUUGCAAGACGACGAGCGAGCUGUGCAGGUGUGCUUGCUUGUAUGAGGGGUUCGGGGGGGGGGAGCAUGAGGCUGCAGGCACUGUGCGGCCUUCCAGCAUCCGCCACCCGCGUCAACGCCACUGUCGUCAUGUGCGAGCGGGAAGGCCACACUGCAGGGGCUCGGUGAAUGAUGGACUGACCUGUGGAAUCUACUGCGUUCUUUCUGAGCGUUGCGGCGAUGUGAGCUUCAUUGAGUUUGCAAUCUUCAACGAAAUCUAUGUCUGACGUCCCAGGGCGCCUUGUGCAGCGGUUGGCUCGGUGGCUGGCCUUGUCUCUCUCUCUGUGCUUGUGUUUGUCUGCGCCGUGCAUGCGUGUGCGCCUGUCCAACUCCCGUCUUUUCACGCUGCAGGCUGUGGGAGGCGGUGGUGCGGUCGGCAGGCCAGCAUGAAGAAGCGCAUGCGAGCGAGUGACCGGAGUCACCCGUAGCGAAGCAGCUCGUGUUACCGCUCGAAUGGAUGCGCUGUGCAUCUGCUCCCGUAUUCGAGGUCUUGUGUGUCAAAGGGUUGCAAGACGACGAGCGAGCUGUGCAGGUGUGCUUGCUUGUAUGAGGGGUUCGGGGGGGGGAGCAUGAGGCUGCAGGCACUGUGCGGCCUUCCAGCAUCCGCCACCCGCGUCAACGCCACUGUCGUCAUGUGCGAGCGGGAAGGCCACACUGCAGGGGCUCGGUGAAUGAUGGACUGACCUGUGGAAUCUACUGCGUUCUUUCUGAGCGUUGCGGCGAUGUGAGCUUCAUUGAGUUGCAAUCUUCAACGAAAUCUAUGUCUGACGUCCCAGGGCGCCUUGUGCAGCGGUUGGCUCGGUGGCUGGCCUUGUCUCUCUCUCUGUGUACGUAGGUUAGUUGCGCGCACCGUUCCAUAUGGCCGUAACGUGCUCCUUUACCUUCCAUUUUUGUAGGCAUCAGUGGGAGGAGGGCGCACGCCGCUUUCGUGUUUCUCUCUCUCAACCGCGUCAGAGGGACAUCAGGGAUAGCGAAAGAAGGAACCGCUCAGGGAC